GUAAUAUUUUGGGCCGGGCCUCAACAUAGCAUUUAUUGACUGAACAAAAAUAAUUCUCUCAACUGAUAUUUUUGUGGUUAUUGUUACUUAGGAUCUUGGCAGCGUGAGCAGUGGUGGAGACUCUGCUGUGUUACUCAGGACAGAAACCCCCAACCCACCGCAGAAAAAAAAUAAGCCAAGGGUCAAAGCUCUUGACGCUUUUCGAGGGUAAUUAUCAAUAACUGCUUUGUCUAAUUUAUGCUCAUCAUCGAUGCACGAAAUGAUGUUCAUUGCAACAGUUCUUUUUUUAUUUUCAGGGAGGUUGUGUAAAAUUUUGCCAUCCAGUUCCAUAGAAAAAUGUUGCGAAACCUGAUUUUCUUUUAGGAAUCAACCUUCUUCCAUUUUGAAAUUUGAAUAAAGCACAUUUGGUUAUGCAUCAGAGUCUAGCAAAAUAUUUAAAAUCAACAUCUGACAGCUACUUUGUCCAUAAAUUGUACUGAGGAAUAAAACAGUAGUGCAAAUAAAUUUUUCUAGUGUUUUUUAUUCAUAGCAAUAAUUGUUAGGGAGAGAUCUUAUCAACAGUUACUAUUGGAAUUUUCUGCUUGUCAUAAGCUCUCUUUGUUUUGAUGUAGACACUAUUGAAAUAAUAUUCAGUUUUCCUUCAACACUUGCAGGAUUGCAAUCUGUCUCAUGAUGUUCGUCAAACUAUGGCGGUGGAAAGUACUGGUUCUUUAAACACUCAGCAUGGAAUGGUUUGACUUUUGCAGAUCUAGUAUUUCCAUGGUUUACUUGGAUCAUGGGUGUUGGAAUAGCAAUAUCCUUGAGAUCGCAGCUUCGGGGCUUGUGUCAAAAGGAAGCAAAUAUUCAUCAGUGUUCUCCGCCGUGCGUGCGUCCUCAUAUUCUAGGGGUGAUUUUGAACUCACAGCACCAAAACGAUCUCUCACAAAUGAGGCUCCCUGCGUUCUGCAGAGGCUAGGCUUGGCCUACUUUAUAGUAGGUCCAUUGAGACUUGCUUUAUGGAAAAACAAACGGUCGAUCAAAUGUGAGUAAGGUCCUAUAUUUUCUUAGAAUUCCAAUUAUUUAAUCAAACUACACUCC
rnacentral:lncRNA from 1 species